UGGGGAAUAUUGGACAAUGGGCGCAAGCCUGAUCCAGCCAUGCCGCGUGAGUGAUGAAGGCCCUAGGGUUGUAAAGCUCUUUCACCGGUGAAGAUAAUGACGGUAACCGGAGAAGAAGCCCCGGCUAACUUCGUGCCAGCAGCCGCGGUAAUACGAAGGGGGCUAGCGUUGUUCGGAUUUACUGGGCGUAAAGCGCACGUAGGCGGACUAUUAAGUCAGGGGUGAAAUCCCGGGGCUCAACCCCGGAACUGCCUUUGAUACUGGUAGUCUUGAGUUCGAGAGAGGUGAGUGGAAUUCCGAGUGUAGAGGUGAAAUUCGUAGAUAUUCGGAGGAACACCAGUGGCGAAGGCGGCUCACUGGCUCGAUACUGACGCUGAGGUGCGAAAGCGUGGGAGCAAACAGG
rnacentral:rRNA from 1 species